rnacentral:lncRNA from 1 species
AUCACUAUGGUUAAGAAAGCCUAUCACCUUUAUUUUGGCUGCAAAAUUGGAGAUCAGGACAAGAGGUGGGCCCCACACAGAUGCUGCAACACUUGUGCAACAAAUCUUUGCCAGUGGCUGAACAGGAAAAGGAAAUCUAUGCCUUUUGCAGUGCCAAUGAUUUGGAGAGAGCCAAUAGAUCAUACCAGCAAUUGUUACUUCUGCAUGGUGCCUCCAGUUGGGAAAGGUGUGUCAAAGAAGAAAAAGUGGACUGUGCAUUAUCCAAACAUUCCAUCAGCUAUACGCCCAGUACCCCACAGAGAAGGACUGCCGAUUCCUGAUGCACCAGAAUCAUUCUCACUUGAGUCAGAUGACAAAGAGGAAGAGGAUGAAACUUCUGGUCCUGAACCAUCAAUGUCACAGGACCCACAUUUUCUCCCAUCCUCCUCCUCUGAACCACACCUCAUAACACAAGGUGAACUGAAUGACCUUGUCAGGGAUUUGGAACUACCCAAGAGUAAGGCAGAGCUGUUGGACUCCAGACUACAGCAGUGGAAUCUCCUGGCAGGUGAUGUUAGGGUUUCCAUGUUCCGUGACCAUCCAAAGGAUCUUGUCCCAUUCUUCUUCAUGGAAGGUGAUCUUGUAGCCUGCAACAACAUCGAUGGUGCGAUGGCAGCCCUCAACAUCGUUCACGAUCCAGAUGAGUGGAGACUGUUUAUUGAUUCAUCGAAGAUGAGUCUUAAAGCUGUUUUACUGCAUAAUGACAAUGUUUUGCCAUCAAUUCCAGUUGGUCAUGCAGUCCAUAUGAAGGAAACCUAUGACAACAUGAAACAACUUUUGAGGUGCAUAAACUAUGACCAACAUCAGUGGCAGCUUCGUGGCGAUUUGAAGGUUGUUGCUCUCUUGCUUGGUCUGCAGACUGGAUACACAAAGUACUGCUAUUUUCUCUGCGAAUGGGAUAGUCGUGCAAGAGAUUCCCACUACCUCAAGAAAGAUUGGCCACUCCGACAGUCAUUGGAGCCUGGGAGGAAAAGUGUUCAGCAUCCACCACUUGUUGAAUCAAGGAAGAUUUUGUUACCACCCUUACACAUCAAGGUGGGUCUGAUGAAGAACUUUAUCAAGGCCAUUGACAAAACACAAGCAGCUUUCAAGUACCCCUGUGGAAAAUUUCCAAGAUUAAGUG